UUUUGUGGGGUGCUCGAGUGGCGAACGGGUGAGUAACACGUAAGUAACCUGCCCUUGACUUUGGGAUAACUUCAGGAAACUGGGGCUAAUACCGGAUAGGAGCUCCUGCUGCAUGGUGGGGGUUGGAAAGUUUCGGCGGUUGGGGAUGGACUCGCGGCUUAUCAGCUUGUUGGUGGGGUAGUGGCUUACCAAGGCUUUGACGGGUAGCCGGCCUGAGAGGGUGACCGGCCACAUUGGGACUGAGAUACGGCCCAG
rnacentral:rRNA from 1 species